AAGGUGAAGGGAGGGGGCAGUACCAAUCUGAAUCCCACCAAAAUAGGUGGUAGAGGGCUGCCCUCCUUCCUUCCCUCACCUCUGACC
rnacentral:miRNA from 1 species